rnacentral:rRNA from 1 species
AUACGUAGGGUGCAAGCGUUAAUCGGAAUUACUGGGCGUAAAGCGUGCGCAGGCGGUUUUGUAAGACAGAGGUGAAAUCCCCGGGCUCAACCUGGGAACUGCCUUUGUGACUGCAAGGCUAGAGUACGGCAGAGGGGGAUGGAAUUCCGCGUGUAGCAGUGAAAUGCGGAGAUAUGCGGAGGAACACCGAUGGCGAAGGCGAUCCCCUGGGCCUGUACUGACGCUCAUGCACGAAAGCGUGGGGAGCAAACAGGAUUAGAUACCCUGGUAGUCCACGCCCUAAACGAUGUCAACUGGUUGUUGGGUCUUCAUUGACUCAGUAACGAAGCUAACGCGUGAAGUUGACCGCCUGGGGAGUACGGUCGCAAGGUUGAAACUCAAAGGAAUUGACGGGG